rnacentral:misc_RNA from 1 species
GAUGAAGAACGCAGCGAAAUGCGAUAAGUAAUGUGAAUUGCAGAAUUCAGUGAAUCAUCGAAUCUUUGAACGCACAUUGCGCCCGUCAGUAUUCUGGCGGGCAUGCCUGUUCGAGCGUCAUUACGCCCCUCAAGUCCCCUGUGGACUUGGUGUUGGGGAUCGGCGAGGCUGGUUUUCCAGCACAGCCGUCCCUUAAAUUAAUUGGCGGUCUCGCCGUGGCCCUCCUCUGCGCAGUAGUAAAACACUCGCAACAGGAGCCCGGCGCGGUCCACUGCCGUAAACCCCCCAACUUUUUAUAGUUGACCUCGAAUCAGGUAGGACUACCCGCUGAACUUAAGCAUAUCAAUAAGCGGAGGA